rnacentral:rRNA from 1 species
GACGAACGCUGGCGGCGUGCUUAACACAUGCAAGUCGAACGGAAAGGCCCUGCUUUUGUGGGGUGCUCGAGUGGCGAACGGGUGAGUAACACGUGAGUAACCUGCCCUUGACUUUGGGAUAACUUCAGGAAACUGGGGCUAAUACCGGAUAGGAGCUCCUGCUGCAUGGUGGGGGUUGGAAAGUUUCGGCGGUUGGGGAUGGACUCGCGGCUUAUCAGCUUGUUGGUGGGGUAGUGGCUUACCAAGGCUUUGACGGGUAGCCGGCCUGAGAGGGUGACCGGCCACAUUGGGACUGAGAGACGGACCAGACUCGUACGGGAGGCAGCAGGGGGGAAUAUUGCACAAUGGGCGGAAGCCUGAUGCAGAAACGCCGCGUGCGGGAUGACGGCCUUCGGGUUGUAAACCGCUUUCGCCUGUGACGAAGCGUGAGUGACGGUAAUGGGUAAAGAAGCACCGGCUAACUACGUG